UUCGCAAUGCCCGAAAGGGUGACGAAGCGACGCCGCGUGUGGGAAGAAGGCCUUCGGGUUGUAAACCACUGUCGGGAGUUAAGAAAUGCAAGGAUAUGAAUAGUGUCUUUGCUUGACUAAGGCUCCGGAGGAAGCCACGGCUAACUCUGUGCCAGCAGCCGCGGUAAUACAGAGGCGGCAAGCGUUGUUCGGAAUUAUUGGGCGUAAAGAGCACGUAGGCGGCUAUGUAAGUCGGUUGUGAAAGCCUUCCGCUCAACGGGAGAACAGCAUCCGAUACUACAUGACUUGAGUGCGGGAGGGGAGAGUGGAACCUCUGGUGGAGCGGUGAAAUGCGUAGAUAUCAGAAGGAACGCCGGCGGCGAAAGCGGCUCUCUGGCCCAUAACUGACGCUGAGUGUGCGAAAGCUAGGGGAGCAAACGGGAUUAGAUACCCCGGUAGUCCUAGCCGUAAACGAUGGGCACUAAGUAGAGGGGUUUU
rnacentral:rRNA from 1 species